rnacentral:rRNA from 1 species
AUUGAACGCUGGCGGCAGGCCUAACACAUGCAAGUCGAGCGGAGCGGCGGACGGGUGAGUGAUGCCUAGGUAUCGGCCUGGUAGUGGGGGAGAAAGUCCGGAAACGGACGCUAAUACAGCAUACUAGCAGAUGAGCGUAGGUCGGAUUAGCUAGUUGGUGGGGUAAAGGCUUACCAAGGCGACGAUCCGUACCUGGUCUGAGAGGAUGAUCAGUCACACUGGAACUGAGACACGGUCCAGACUCCUACGGGAGGCAGCAGUGGGGAAUAUUGGACAAUGGGCGAAAGCCUGAUCCAGCCAUGCCGCGUGUGUGAAGAAGGUCUUCGGAUUGUAAAGCACUUUAAGUUGGGAGGCGUUACCGACAGAAUAAGCACCGGCUAACUCCGUGCCAGCAGCCGCGGUAAUAC